rnacentral:lncRNA from 1 species
UCGCCGGUUCACAAGCCAUCACCGGUUCCAACUCCGGUUGUUGACAAACCGUCGCCGGUUCACAAACCACAACCACCGAAAGAGUCACCGCAACAAGAUGAUCCUUAUGAUCAGUCUCCGGUGAAGAACCGACGCAGCCCACCUCCACCUCAUCAAUCUCAGCCUCCGGUGGUUUCCUCUCCUCCACUUCCAUCACCACCACCACCACAAGUCCACUCUCCACCGCCACCUGUUCACUCUCCUCCACCGCCUGUCCACUCUCCUCCACCACCAGUCUAUUCCCCACCGCCACCGCCUGUCUUCUCUCCACCACCACCCGUAUAUUCCCCACCUCCGCCAGUCCAUUCGCCACCUCCACCACCUCCGGUUAACUCGCCGCCGCCACCUGUUCACUCACCGCCGCCGCCUGUUCAGUCGCCACCGCCACCGGUGUUUUCUCCUCCAGCUCAUCCGCCACAAACACCAGUCCAACCGUCACCAUCACCAGCGGUCAUUCUUCCACCUCCGUCUCAAUCUCCACCAGUAGUCUACUCUCCUCCGCCAACGAUCAGUUCCCCACCAGCACCAGCUCCAGUGGAAGAGAAACAGACGCCGCCCGCACAAGCACCAGCUCCGGUUGAAAAGGAACAGGCGCCUCCGGCACAAGCACCAGCUCCGGUGGAAGAGAAAGAGACGCCGCCUGCACAAGCACCAGCUCCGGUUGAAAAGGAACAGGCGCCACCGGCACAAGCACCAGCUCCGGUGGAAGAGAAAGAGACGCCAACGGCACAAGCACCAGCUCCAAGUGAUGAAUUCAUCAUACCACCUUUCAUCGGCCACCAAUACGCAUCGCCACCACCUCCAAUGUUCGAGGGCUACUGAUAUCGAUCGAAGAGAGAAGAAACAACUAUAUCAUCUAGGAGUAACA